CAGCCGCCACGGGAAUACGUAGGGUGCAAGCGUUAAUCGGAAUUACUGGGCGUAAAGCGUGCGCAGGCGGUUAUAUAAGUCAGAUGUGAAAUCCCCGGGCUCAACCUGGGAACUGCAUUUGAGACUGUAUGGCUAGAGUGUGUCAGAGGGGGGUAGAAUUCCACGUGUAGCAGUGAAAUGCGUAGAUAUGUGGAGGAAUACCGAUGGCGAAGGCAGCCCCCUGGGAUAACACUGACGCUCAUGCACGAAAGCGUGGGGAGCAAACAGGAUUAGAUACCCGAGUAGUCCCUGUCUCUUAUAC
rnacentral:rRNA from 1 species